CCUACGGGAGGCAGCAGUGAGGAAUAUUGGUCAAUGGGCGUAAGCCUGAACCAGCCAAGUCGCGUGAGGGAUGAAGGUUCUAUGGAUCGUAAACCUCUUUUAUAAGGGAAUAAAGUGCGGGACGUGUCCCGUUUUGUAUGUACCUUAUGAAUAAGGAUCGGCUAACUCCGUGCCAGCAGCCGCGGUAAUACGUAGGGAGCAAGCGUUAUCCGGAUUUAUUGGGUGUAAAGGGUGCGUAGACGGAGAAGCAAGUUAGUUGUGAAAUCCCUCGGCUUAACUGAGGAACUGCAACUAAAACUACUUCCCUUGAGUACUGGAGAGGAAAGUGGAAUUCCUAGUGUAGCGGUGAAAUGCGUAGAUAUUAGGAGGAACACCAGUGGCGAAGGCGACUUUCUGGACAGUAACUGACGUUGAGGCACGAAAGUGUGGGGAGCAAACAGGAUUAGAUACCCCGGUAGUC
rnacentral:rRNA from 1 species